rnacentral:rRNA from 1 species
AGAGUUUGAUCCUGGCUCAGGACGAACGCUGGCGGCGCGCCUAACACAUGCAAGUCGAACGGAGCUGUUUUCUCUGAAGUUUUCGGAUGGAAGAGAGUUCAGCUUAGUGGCGAACGGGUGAGUAACACGUGAGCAACCUGCCUUUCAGUGGGGGACAACAUUUGGAAACGAAUGCUAAUACCGCAUAAGACCACAGUGUCGCAUGGCACAGGGGUCAAAGGAUUUAUCCGCUGAAAGAUGGGCUCGCGUCCGAUUAGCUAGAUGGUGAGGUAACGGCCCACCAUGGCGACGAUCGGUAGCCGGACUGAGAGGUUGAACGGCCACAUUGGGACUGAGACACGGCCCAGACUCCUACGGGAGGCAGCAGUGGGGAAUAUUGCACAAUGGGGGAAACCCUGAUGCAGCGACGCCGCGUGGAGGAAGAAGGUCUUCGGAUUGUAAACUCCUGUCCCAGGGGACGAUAAUGACGGUACCCUGGGAGGAAGCACCGGCUAACUACGUGCCAGCAGCCGCGGUAAAACGUAGGGUGCAAGCGUUGUCCGGAAUUACUGGGUGUAAAGGGAGCGCAGGCGGAUUGGCAAGUUGGGAGUGAAAUCUAUGGGCUCAACCCAUAAAUUGCUUUCAAAACUGUCAGUCUUGAGUGGUGUAGAGGUAGGCGGAAUUCCCGGUGUAGCGGUGGAAUGCGUAGAUAUCGGGAGGAACACCAGUGGCGAAGGCGGCCUACUGGGCACUAACUGACGCUGAGGCUCGAAAGCAUGGGUAGCAAACAGGAUUAGAUACCCUGGUAGUCCAUGCCGUAAACGAUGAUUACUAGGUGUGGGAGGAUUGACCCCUUCCGUGCCGCAGUUAACACAAUAAGUAAUCCACCUGGGGAGUACGACCGCAAGGUUGAAACUCAAAGGAAUUGACGGGGGCCCGCACAAGCAGUGGAGUAUGUGGUUUAAUUCGAAGCAACGCGAAGAACCUUACCAGGUCUUGACAUCGGAUGCAUACCUAAGAGAUUAGGGAAGUCCUUCGGGACAUCCAGACAGGUGGUGCAUGGUUGUCGUCAGCUCGUGUCGUGAGAUGUUGGGUUAAGUCCCGCAACGAGCGCAACCCUUAUCG